GAAAUGUUGGGUUAAGUCCCGCAACGAGCGCAACCCUUAUCCUUUGUUGCCAGCGGUUAGGCCGGGAACUCAAAGGAGACUGCCAGUGAUAAACUGGAGGAAGGUGGGGAUGACGUCAAGUCAUCAUGGCCCUUACGAGUAGGGCUACACACGUGCUACAAUGGCAUAUACAAAGAGAAGCGACCUCGCGAGAGCAAGCGGACCUCAUAAAGUAUGUUGUAGUCCGGAUUGGAGUCUGCAACUCGACUCCAUGAAGUCGGAAUCGCUAGUAAUCGUGGAUCAGAAUGCCACGGUGAAUACGUUCCCGGGCCUUGUACACACCGCCC
rnacentral:rRNA from 1 species